rnacentral:rRNA from 1 species
AUUGAACGCUGGCGGCGUGCCUAACACAUGCAAGUCGAGCGGUAACAGGUGUAGCAAUACAUGCUGACGAGCGGCGAACGGGUGAGUAAUGCUUCGGAAUCUACCCAAUGGUGGGGAAUAACCAGCCGAAAGGUUGGCUAAUACCGCAUACGUCCCACGGGAGAAAAGCAGGGGAUCGCAAGACCUUGCGCCAAUGGAUGAGCCGAAGUCGGAUUAGCUAGUUGGAGGGUAACGCCUACCAAGGCGACGAUCCGUAGCUGGUCUGAGAGGACGACCAGCCACACUGGGACUGAGACACGGCCCAGACUCCUACGGGAGGCAGCAGUGGGGAAUAUUGGACAAUGGGGGAAACCCUGAUCCAGCGACGCCGCGUGUGUGAAGAAGGCCUGC